GCCAGGCGGCAGUGGUGCACCUAUAGUCCCAGCUACUUGGGAGGCUGGCGCCGGAGGGUCGUGGGAGCCAGGGAGUUCGGGGCUGUGCUGGUUGGAUUUCUGCGCUCAGUUUGGCAUCAAUGUGGCAACCUUCCAGGAGCAGAGAGCCACCAGGUUGCGUAAGGAGUGGGGGGCCGGCCCAGGUCGGAAGUGGGGAAGGUCAGAACUCCCGUACCCGUCGGUAGAGAGAUCGCGCCUGUGAUUAGCACCACACCCCAGCCUAGGCAACACAGCAAGACCCAGUCUCU
rnacentral:SRP_RNA from 1 species